UUUUUAGGUAUGUUAUAAUGUUCAUUAGGUUUAAACGUCAUAAAAAUGGAUUGCUUUAGUGUUAAUCAGGGUACCGAAACAAUAAUUUAGAAUCCUUUAAUCACGUCAUGAUCCCCUACUCCACGUCUUUCAAUUUUAUCUGUCUCCAAUUAGGUAGGUACCUAGUUUGACAAGUGUUAAGUAUAAAAUCAUUAUCACUACAAAUGUAAUUUGUAAUGAAACACGAUAUAGCUACCUAUCUUAUUUUUCGCUCAUUGUAAUAGUAAUAAUUUAAAGGAACUUUUUGUAACUAGUUAGUAGUGUUGCUGUAGUCGUUUUUUUAAGGGUAUGCGUUAUACGGAUGCCUUUUAAAAUAGUGCAAACGACCGAAAGGGAUGAAGGAAUGUUCUACGGAACUUCUUGACUCACACAACAACCGAUUGUACUGUAUUUUGUGUAUGAGGUGUAUCAUUUUUUGGAACACGUUUUGCAUUUCUUAAACCAAAUAUAAAGUUUGAAUAUUC